rnacentral:misc_RNA from 1 species
UACGGAGGGGGCUAGCGUUGUUCGGAAUUACUGGGCGUAAAGCGCGCGUAGGUGGCUGUCCAAGUCGGGUGUGAAAGCCCCGGGCUCAACCCGGGAGGUGCAUCCGAGACUGGACGGCUUGAGUUCGGGAGAGGUGAGUGGAAUUCCCAGUGUAGAGGUGGAAUUCGUAGAUAUUAGGAAGAACACCGGUGGCGAAGGCGGCUCACUGGACCGACACUGACGCUGAGGCACGAAAGCGUGGGGAGCAAACAGG